AAAAAACUGGUUAUUAGAUUGGCGAAUGCGGGCGGGCUGGCUGGCGGGCUGGCUGGCUGGCUGGCGGAAUAAGCUUGUCCGGGCCAUAACUAUGUCGUUCAUUGUCAGAUUUUAAAAUCAUUUGGCACAUUUGUUCACCAUCAUUGGACGGUGUGUCGCGCGAAAUAAUUACGUCGAUAUCUCCAAGGUCAAGGUCACACUUUGAGUUCAAAGGUCAAAAAUGGCCAUAAAUGAGCUUGUCCUGGCCAUAACUAUGUCAUUCAUUGUGAGAUUUUAAAAUCAUUUGGCACAUUUGUUCACCAUCAUGGGACGGUGUGUCCCACGAAAGAAUCACGUCAAUAUCUCCAAUGUCAAGGUCGCCACGACUAAAAAUAGAUUUAAAAAAAAAAAAAAAACUUACAAAGGGGGUUCAUUUUUUUUGGUCAUUUCAAAAGUUCAGUUUGAGUUUUCUCCCUUUAUCAGAUUUUUUUUUCACAAUGAAAACCUGGUUUUGUGACAAUUUUGUCCCUUGUCUGACAAUUGUUUUCCUUGUUUUGUUUCAAAUAGGCAUGAUAUGGUUACUAUUAAAUCAACUUCAUAUGUUCUUCCCUUGUGAUAAGUAUUUUUUAUAUCUAUUUCUUAAUAUUUUUCAGUAGUAAUAAUGUCUAAGAUAGAAUGAAUAUCUGUUCUUUUAAAGGUUGUAACUGAUGCUCUAUUUCUUUUGGACAUGACAUGUUACUGUCUCGUUUGUACAGAGAUUCAAUUAAAUACUACAUUUUAUUAUGUGUGAUUCUAUUUUUGUGUUCCAAAUAGGCAGUCUGACAUAUUAGGUAUAUUGAAAACUCUUACAUAUAACAUUUGUAAGUAUCUGUUAUUAAUGACAGUUAAAUGAAACAAUGGUUGUAUAGUUGUGUAUAUUACAAAGUAUAAUUAUUGUUAUAUUUCGAAAUUAGAAUUAUGUUUAUAUUUUAAUUUUCAUACACUUUCAACUAUAAUUUGUAAUAGUGCCGUUGCUACUUAAAUUUUAUGUGGUUUGGAUGCUCACUGUUAUAUUCUAUGCUCCUUCAAAAUACAAUUAAGGUUUCACCUUAACGGUUAUAACGCGAGUGAAAAGCAUCCAUAUGUAGCAAUAUACACUGUAAACAUGUGAUUUAAAACAAGUUUUGUUCAAUUAUCUGUAAAGUUCAUUCAUAACUAUUUUAUAACAUGUCUGCUAAAUCCACUUACUAUAUUCAAGCAUUUUGCAUUAUUGUUUUUGUUUAACACUAGAAACUGUAAAGUUUAUGUGUAAUAAAAUUAUGUUCUGUUCUGUAACGAUUGUAUGCUGAUGUAGUUGUUGCAUUAACAUUAAGUAGACAUAAAAAUUCGGUAUUCUAUAUACUACUAACAUUUUAUUGUGAUUCAAGUUGUAUUAAGUUUUGUUCUCUAAACAGAUAUUGAAUUAUUUUACUGAUACAACAACAUACGGUAUUAAAGCAGUUCCAUAUAUAGCUAGAUACACUGUUAUCAUGUUUGUCUAAAAUAUCUGUAAAGUCUAUCCAUAACCAAAUUAUGAUAUUUCUGUUAAAUAAAAAACGACAAACUAUAUGUAUUCAUGUAUUUUGUAUAAUCGCUUUGUUUAACACUAGAAACUGUAAAGUUUAUGUGUAAUAAAAUUAUGUUCUGUAUAUUACAUGAUAAUCUAUCAAUGUUGUUUUGUGAACACAACCUCUGGUUCUAUGGAAAAAAAAACACAAACCUUGAGCACUUAAUUUGUCGGUAUGUGUGCAUUUGUGUGUAUGGGUGUGCGAUAAAUUGCAAGUGUUUCCUGUUCGCGUGUUUUCGUUUUGUGUGAAUUAUGUUAAGCAAAUUAAUUUAACAAAAAAGUUUAUUUGACUUUAUUAGAUGAUAGUAUUGAGUGUCCUACCAAGAAAAAUUGGUGCACGCUAUUAAGGGAUCUACUAAGUAAUUUGGGAUUUUAUGAUGCUUGGUUUUUUCAAGAUGUUGGAAAUGAAAAUAUGUUUGUAUCAGUCGUAAGACAAAGAUAGAGCGACAUGUUUGUACAGAAUUGGAAUGAGCGACUUCAUACUUCUACUAGGGCAAAUUUUUAUAAACAUAUCUCCGUUUUUCAAUUUCAACCGUACCUGAAUAUAUGCAAUGUCAACAAGUUUCGAGUAAAUUUAUCAAAAUUACGUAUGUCAUCACAUAGAUUAAAUAUCGAGUCAGGCAGAUGGGCUAGACCUACACCAAUUCCAUUAGAUCAAAGAAAGUGUACUGUUUGUAAUAAACUCGAAAAAUAGUUUCAUUUUAUUCUUGAAUGUACAAUAUAUACUGAACUGAGAUCAAAAUAUAUUCCAUUGUAUUACAGACAACGACCAAACAUGUACAAAUUUAUCGAGCUAAUAGAGCUAAUAACAUCAAAUAAUGAACAAUUAAUAAAAAAAUUAAGCUGUUAUAUUUAUCACUCUUUUAAUGUUCGAACGCAUAAUACAUGUGUCAUCAAUUUGAUUUAUUCUGAAAUGUUUUGUGCGGUAUAUAUCUUGUUGUAACUUUAAUUGCAUUUAUUAUGUACUGCAUAUUAAUUGUUGGGAUAGUACCGCAUAUGUAACGUGUUUUUAUUCACGUGUUUUUUAAUCUGUCUUUGUGUUUUAACGGUCGCCUUUAAUGGACUGUCAAAACUGUAUUUGAAUGUAUUUAAUCAAUUGCCAUUAUUAUCUUUUAAUGAAGGUUAUAUUAUAGUAUCGUGUCUGUUCCUAGAUGUAUUCUACGACAAUAUGGCUGCAUUUUUAGAACUGUUAUGCACUGAUUUACAACUAUUAUGUCUGUCGGUCGGUCGGUCCGUAUACCAGGUGGUUUCCGGAUGAUAACUCAAUAACGCUUGGGCCUAGGAUCAUGAAACUUCAUAGGAACAUUGAUCAUGACUCGCAGAUGACCCCUAUUGAUUUUCAGAUCACUAGGUCAAAGGUCAAGGUCAUGGUGACCCGAAAUAGUAAAAUGGUUUCCGGAUAUCUCAAGAACGCUUAUGCCUAGGAUCAUGAAACUUCAUAGGUACAUUGAUCAUGACUCGCAGAUGACCCCUAUUGAUUUUCAGGUCACUAGGUCAAAGGUCAAGGUCACGGUGACCCGAAAUAGUAACAUGGUUUCCGGAUGAUAACUGAAGAACGCUUAUGCCUAGGAUCAUGAAACUUGAUAGGUAGAUUGAUCAGGACUCGCAGAUGACCCCUAUUGAUUUUCAGGGCACAAGGUCAAAGGUCACUGUGACAUAAAACAUAUUCACACAAUGGCUGUCACUACAACGUAGAGCCCAUAUGGGGGGCAUGCAUGUUUUACAAACAGCCCUUUUUAAUGAAACAUGUAUGAAUUGUUGCAAUGAAACGUUUUUUUUUCUUUUUGUAAAUUCAUGUAUUAUUUAUGUUGUAAACACUGUAUGCUUACUUAGUCCACUUGGGCUUUUGGCCUUCUGGGUGUGUUGUUUAAUAAACAAUAAACAAUAUGUAAGACUUAUCAAACGUACUGAUAAAUACUAUUGUUUAUAUAGCAUUCAACAUGACUUUUGGACCAUGUAUAUGUUAAUUUCUUAGGUGACCUGUAUAGGGUUUAUACAAUGAUAUUGAAUAUAAAUUAAUAUCAAACGUUGUCUUUUCAGUGCAUUUUGUUGUGUUUGUUUAUUUAGAUAAUUGAACUGAUUUAUAACAUCCAUUUAACAAAGUUCAUUGUUUCCAGAGCCUUUGGGUUGCCUAUAUUUCCGUUUCGUAUAGGUAGACUGUAAGGGCUGACGUUUAUGCUAUUAUUACAUGCAUGUGUUUUAAUUGACUUUUAUUUUAGAAGAUCUGUCAACAAGUUUUUAACAAGCCUGUUACUAUAACAAACUGUUCUACUACCCUUAAACAUAUGAUGUAUAUAUAAAUGUACUAGUAACAUACGAAUAUUCAUAAUAAAACCGACUAUGUUAAUUCUGAUUAGUACAAAGUGUUUUUAUUAGUACAUCUUGCUUAUGGAGACCUAAUAAAUGUAAAUUACAGUAUAUUUAUGCCCCCCUUCGAAGAAGAGGGGGUAUAUUGCUUUGCUCAUGUCGGUCUGUCGGUCGGUCCGUCCACCAGGUGGUUGUCAGACGAUAACUCAAGAACGCUUGGGCCUAGGAUCAUGAAACUUCAUGGGUAGAUUGAUCAUGACUUGCAGAUGACCCCUAUUGAUUUUGAGGUCACUAGGUCAAAGGUCAAGGUCACGGUGACCCGAAAUAGUAAAAUGAUUUUCGGAUGAUAACUCAAGUACGCUUUUGCCUAGGAUCAUGACACUUCAUAGGUACAUUGAUCGUGACUCGCAGAUGACCCCUAUUGAUUUUUAGGUCACUAUGUCAAAGGUCAAGGUCACGGUGACAAAAAUCGUAUACACACAAUGGCUGCCACUACAACGGACAGCCCAUAUGGGGGGCAUGCAUGUUUUACAAACAGCCCUUGUUUGUAUAUUGCAUUAAAUUGAGUUUAUUAGCCUCAUACACUCUGACGCACUUAGGAUAUAUUUAAUUACAUGUAUACUUUCGAUAAUUAUUUAUGUUCUAGUGUAAUGUAUAAUAACUCAUAAUGUAUAAUAAUUCAUGUAGGCACCGUUGUAACCAAACGAUUUUAUUUCUUUGCAUAACUUUAUUUUGUAUAAUCAUAAACUGUGUAUUGUGGAAACACUGUAUCAUGUAUGCUUGAUUUGUCCACUUGGGCUUUUGGCUUUCUGGAUGGAUUGUUUAAUAAACUAUGUUCUAAAAAAUGCAAA